AACGAACGCUGGCGGCAGGCUUAACACAUGCAAGUCGAACGCCCGUAGCAAUACGGGAGUGGCAGACGGGUGAGUAACGCGUGGGAAUCUACCCAGCUCUACGGAACAACCCAGGGAAACUUGGGCUAAUACCGUAUACGCCCCCCUUUGGUGGACAUCGGGGGGGAAAGAUUUAUCGGAGCUGGAUGAGCCCGCGUUGGAUUAGCUAGUUGGUAGGGUAACGGCCUACCAAGGCGACGAUCCAUAGCUGGUCUGAGAGGAUGAUCAGCCACACUGGGACUGAGACACGGCCCAGACUCCUACGGGAGGCAGCAGUGGGGAAUCUUGGACAAUGGGCGAAAGCCUGAUCCAGCCAUGCCGCGUGAGUGAUGACGGCCUUAGGGUUGUAAAGCUCUUUCACCGGUGAAGAUAAUGACGGUAACCGGAGGAGAAGCCCCGGCUAACUUCGUGCCAGCCGCCGCAGUAACAC
rnacentral:rRNA from 1 species